rnacentral:rRNA from 1 species
AGCGUUUGAUCAUGGCUCAGGAUGAACGCUAGCGACAGGCCUAACACAUGCAAGUCGAGGGGCAACAUGGUAUCAGCUUGCUGAUACUGAUGGCGACCGGCGCACGGGUGAGUAACGCGUAUGUAAUCUACCUGUAACAGAGGGAUAACCCGGAGAAAUCCGGACUAAUACCUCAUAGCACAUAUUAUUCGCAUGAAUUUUAUGUUAAAGAGACUCGGUUACAGAUGAACA